rnacentral:lncRNA from 1 species
UUAUUUCCAACCUAGAAUUCUACAACCAGGAGAAGGAAAUAAAUCAAGAAAGAGGAUUGUAUGGGACUCAGGGCCCCAACUCCAGAGAGAGGGAUAACAGCCACAGCUCACAAGGCAGGGUUGGGCCAGUGAGCAGAAGAUAUGUCGAGAAGAUGAAAUUGACAGGAUACCUAAUGUAUAGGUAUACUGAAAUGAGAUUUCUAUAACUGAGAACUGA